ensembl:rRNA 5S_rRNA 5S ribosomal RNA
GUCUACGGCCAUACCAUCCUGAAAGUGAAUGAUCCCGUCAGAUCUCAAAUGCAAUCAAGGGUAGGGCUUGUUCAGUACCAGUGAGGGUGACCGACUGGGAAUAGCAAGUGCUGUGGUCC